rnacentral:rRNA from 1 species
UCGGGAAGCUAGAGCGGCGCACGGGUGAGUAACGCGUACAUGACCUACCUUUAAGACUGUGAUAGCCCUGGGAAACUGGGAUUAAUAACGGAUGUGAUAAUAGGUAUAAGGAUUUAUUAUUAAAGAUGAGUCGCUUAGAGAUGGGUGUGCGUCUGAUUAGCUAGUUGGUAGGGUAACGGCCUACCAAGGCGACGAUCAGUAGGGGGCGUGAGAGCGUGACCCCCCACACGGGUACUGAGACACGGACCCGACUCCUACGGGAGGCAGCAGUAAGGAAUAUUGGUCAAUGGACGAAAGUCUGAACCAGCCAUCCCGCGUGCAGGAUGACUGCCCUAUGGGUUGUAAACUGCUUUUAGUAGAGAAGAAACGCAGUCAUUUAUGAUUGCCUGACGGUACCUACAGAAUAAGCACCGGCUAACUCCGUGCCAGCAGCCGCGGUAAUACGGAGGGUGCGAGCGUUAUCCGGAAUCACUGGGUUUAAAGGGUGCGUAGGCGGGGAAUUAAGUCAGUGGUGAAAUCUUGUCGCUUAACGAUAAAAUUGCCAUUGAUACUGAUUUUCUUGAAUUGGGUUGAGGUUAGCGGAAUGUGACAUGUAGCGGUGAAAUGCAUAGAUAUGUCAUGGAACACCAAUUGCGAAGGCAGCUAGCUGGGCCUUGAUUGACGCUGAG